rnacentral:tRNA from 1 species
GCUCAGUUGGUAGAGCAGCGGUCUCCAAAACCGCAGGUCGCGGGUUCGAAUCCUGC